rnacentral:rRNA from 1 species
GGCGGCCCGAGUGGUGAUCGUGAUUAUUGGGUCUAAAGGGUCCGUAGCCGGUUUGGUCAGUCCUCCGGGAAAUCUGACAGCUCAACUGUUAGGCUUUCGGGGGAUACUGCCAGACUUGGAACCGGGAGAGGUAAGAGGUACUACAGGGGUAGGAGUGAAAUCUUGUAAUCCCUGUGGGACCACCUGUGGCGAAGGCGUCUUACCAGAACGGGUUCGACGGUGAGGGACGAAAGCUGGGGGCACGAACCG